rnacentral:rRNA from 1 species
UACGUAGGGGGCAAGCGUUGUCCGGAAUCAUUGGGCGUAAAGCGCGUGUAGGCGGCUCGGUAAGUCCGCUCUGAAAGUCCGGGGCUCAACCCCGGGAGGCGGGUGGAUACUGUCGAGCUAGAGUCCGGAAGAGGCGAGUGGAAUUCCUGGUGUAGCGGUGAAAUGCGCAGAUAUCAGGAGGAACACCAAUGGCGAAGGCAGUUCUCUGGGCCGUAACUGACGCUGAGGAGCGAAAGCGUGGGGAGCGAACAGG